UACAGAGGGGGCAAGCGUUGUUCGGAAUUACUGGGCGUAAAGGGCGCGUAGGCGGCCUGCUAAGUCGAACGUGAAAUCCCCGGGCUCAACCCGGGAACUGCGUCCGAUACUGGUAGGCUUGAAUUCGGGAGAGGGAUGCGGAAUUCCAGGUGGUAGCGGUGAAAUGCGUAGAUAUCUGGAGGAACACCGGUGGCGAAGGCGGCCCUCUGGACGGGUGACUGACGCUGAGACGCGAAAGCGUGGGGAGCAAACAGG
rnacentral:rRNA from 1 species